AUACGGAGGAUGCGAGCGUUAUCCGGAUUUAUUGGGUUUAAAGGGAGCGUAGGCGGGAGCUUAAGUCAGCGGUUAAAUGGUGCGGCUCAACCGUGCCCUGCCGUUGAAACUGGGUUUCUUGAGAGUGCAAGAGGCGGAUGGAAAUCAUGGUGGAGCGGGGAAAUGCUUAGAUAUCAUGAAGAACUCCGAUUGCGAAGGCAGUCCGCUGGGGCACGUCUGACGCUGAUGCUCGAAGGUGCGGGAAUCAAACAGGAUUAGAUACCCUGGUAGUCCGCACGGUAAACGAUGAUUACUAGGUGUGGGGGGACUGACCCCUUCCGUGCCGCAGUUAACACAAUAAGUAAUCCACCUGGGGAGUACGGCCGCAAGGUUGAAACUCAAAUGAAUUGGCGGGG
rnacentral:rRNA from 1 species